rnacentral:rRNA from 1 species
GGAGAAUAUCAAACCAAUGUGCAGCGUUGGGCAGCUUGCAUGGAGCAAGUACGCAAUGCACCUCCAAGUGGCACCGUUGAGUCCGACUAUGAUAAGAUUGCUCAACAUAGAUACAAGGACAUGGAAGUUUCGGAAGGCAAAUUCUUCAAACUAGAGCAUUGUUGGGAGUUGCUCCAAAAGUGCGAGAAGUGGAAGUUGAUCGACAAAGAGUCCUGAUCAAAGAGAGGCUCACUUACAAACAUGGAUGAAGAUGAGGAUGAUGAUGGCCCAAGAAAUUUGCACAAGCCCGAUGGCGACAAGAAGACCAAAGAGAAGAUGAAGAGAGAGCAAGAAGCAUCAAGCUUGAGGGAGAAGAUUGAUGCCAUGGUGCAAUCAAACGAGUCGAUGUUGUUGAAGUCGUUGAAGAUCAAGAAAGAGUUGGCCGAGAAGAAGGCAAAAGAGAAGCAAGAAAAGUGGCAAUUGCUCAAAGAAGAGGGGCUGCGCAAAGCUGCCAUUGAGGAGAGAAGAGCACGCGCUGCAGAAAACAAAGCCAUGUCCAAGCUGCUCGCCGAAGAGAACAAGAUCAUGUCAAUGAACCGCAAUGACAUGGACGAUCUCACCAAAACAUGGCAUGAUAUGGCAAGGAGAGAAAUCUUGAAGAGGAGAAUGGUUGCGUCGGCCGGAGGUGGAUCCGGUGGUGGCGAUGAACUUCAAGAUGGACUCGAUGACGCGGAGUAA